GUUGUAUAACUAGCUUUUGUUGGACAACGACCUGAAGUGUUCAUAUCAUGUAUCCACAGAAUCAAGACGUUGGUUUGGCCUGAUGGACUUCUCUGCUGGUAAGGAGUUACGACUUAUUUACCACAAGUGUUCGAUGUGGGCAGACAAUGCAGAUGGCCUAUGAUGAGUACAUGUAUAAGAGUAGUGGACAGAAGUGAUUUCUGAGCACGUUUUAAUCUGAGGUUCUCCUCUUAAACGUAUGAUGUGGAUCUCCCUGCACUUGAGUAAUGCUUAUUUUCUUCUUUUUGGUAGCAUCAGCCAACAGUUGGGAAUGGGUCAUCCACAUAAAGAAUGAAGACGUUGGUUUGGCCUGAUGGACUUCUCUGCUGCAUCAGCCCACAGUUGGACAUGGGUCCUCCGCAUAAAGGUACAAAAUUAUAUUGAGCUGCUUUUAUCUCAAGAAAUGAUUGUUCUGUGCUGCAAUGAUGACUUUAAUUUGCUACUCUUGAGAAAUUAUGACGAUAACCUAACCACACUUUGUGUACCUGAGGCACAGUGA
rnacentral:lncRNA from 1 species